CGGCCGCGAAAUUCGCCCUUAGAGUUUGAUCCUGGCUCAGAACGAACGCUGGCGGCGUGCUUAACACAUGCAAGUCGAACGCGAACGUUUCCUUCGGGAAACCAAUAGAGUGGCGCACGGGUGAGUAACGCGUAAGUAAUCUACCCUCGCAUCUGGGAUAACCCACCGAAAGGUGUGCUAAUACCUGAUACGUCUGGAAUUAUACUUUGAAUCUAGAGAAAGGUGGCCUCUUCAUGAAAGCUACUGUGCGGGGAGGAGCUUGCGUACCAUUAGCUAGUUGGUAGGGUAAGGGCCUACCAAGGCAUUGAUGGUUAGCGGGUCUGAGAGGAUGAUCCGCCACACUGGAACUGGAACACGGACCAGACUCCUACGGGAGGCAGCAGUGAGGAAUAUUGCGCAAUGGGGGCAACCCUGACGCAGCGACGCCGCGUGGAUGAUGAAGGCCUUCGGGUUGUAAAUCCUGUCAGAUGGGAAGAAGUGGCAUUUAGUUAAUACCUGAGUGUCUUGACGGUACCAUCAAAGGAAGCACCGGCUAACUCCGUGCCAGCAGCCCGCGGUAAUACGGAAGGGUGCAAGCGUUG
rnacentral:rRNA from 1 species